ACCGGGCACGGUAAUGGAUUCUGCCGGGCCGUGGUGGCCGAACCGCUUGCUUGCAAGCUGAUGACUCCUACUCGUGA
rnacentral:ncRNA from 2 species